rnacentral:rRNA from 1 species
CCUACGGGAGGCAGCAGUGAGGAAUAUUGGUCAAUGGGCUUACGCCUGAACCAGCCAAGUCGCGUGAGUGAAGAAGUAAUUCGUUACGUAAAGCUCUAUCAGCAGGGAAGAAAAUGACGGUACCUGAGUAAGAAGCCCCGGCUAACUACGUGCCAGCAGCCGCGGUAAUACGUAGGGGGCAAGCGUUAUCCGGAUUUACUGGGUGUAAAGGGAGCGUAGACGGCAGUGCAAGUCUGGAGUGAAAGGCGGGGGCUCAACCCCCGGACUGCUCUGGAAACUGUACGGCUGGAGUGCAGGAGAGGUAAGUGGAAUUCCUAGUGUAGCGGUGAAAUGCGUAGAUAUUAGGAGGAACACCAGUGGCGAAGGCGGCUUACUGGACUGUAACUGACGUUGAGGCUCGAAAGCGUGGGGAGCAAACAGGAUUAGAUACCCUAGUAGUC